rfam:Eubacterium cellulosolvens 6 chromosome, whole genome shotgun sequence.
CUCACUGAUACCCACGGGUAAGCCCGUGGGGUUGCGGUAAAAGCCGUAACCCUUUGUGAGUAGCCUGAGUCUUUCGGGAGACUACGUUAAGAGAGAAUAUACAGGCACUUCGGGAUGUAGUACCAAGUCCCGAACACUGCGGUCUGUGAUUAAACAGUUUUUUGGUAUGGAACAGUGUUGCAGACAUAUAAAACCUCUCAUUAACUUUGGCGAUGGUACACAUAC